rfam:Thecamonas trahens ATCC 50062 unplaced genomic scaffold supercont1.77, whole genome shotgun sequence.
GGGGUUUUAGCUCAGUUGGUAGAGCGUGUGCUUCGCAUGUACAAGGUCGCGUGUUCGAUUCAUGCAAGCUCCA